UACAGGGGGUGCAAACGUUGCUCGGAAUCAUUGGGCGUAAAGCGCACGUAGGCGGUCUGUUAUGUCGGAUGUGAAAGCCCUUGGCUCAACUGAGGAAGUGCAUCCGAAACUGGCAGGCUAGAGUACUAAAGAGGAUCGCGGAAUUCCCGGUGUAGAGGUGAAAUUCGUAGAUAUCGGGAGGAACACCAGUGGCGAAGGCGAGUCCCUGGACAACACCUGACACUGAGGCACGAAAGCUAGGGGAGCAAACAGG
rnacentral:rRNA from 1 species